UGUGUACUCCCUCCGUUCCAAAAUACUUUACUUCCAUUUGUCCAAAAAUGGAUGUACCUAUAUACUAAAACAUGUCUAGAUACAUAUAUAUUUUGACAAAUAGAAGGCAUGUAUUGUGCAACGGAGGGAGUAGAAU
rnacentral:pre_miRNA from 1 species